rnacentral:rRNA from 1 species
AAUGAACGCUGGCGGCGUGCGUAACACAUGCAAGUCGAACGUGAAAGUCCCCUUCGGGGGAUGAGUAAAGUGGCAAACGGGUGAGUAACACGUGGGUAACCUGCCCUCUGGUGGGGGAUAACCCUGCGAAAGCGGGGCUAAUACCGCAUAACAAGUCGCUAAAUAAUUAGUCGACUUCAAAGCCUUCGGGCGCUAGAGGAGGGGCCCGCGUCCCAUUAGCUAGUUGGUAGGGUAACGGCCUACCAAGGCUGCGAUGGGUAGCCGGCCUGAGAGGGUGUCCGGCCACACUGGAACUGAGACACGGUCCAGACUCCUGCGGGAGGCAGCAGUGGGGAAUUUUGCGCAAUGGGCGAAAGCCUGACGCAGCGACGCCGCGUGGGUGAUGAAGUUCUUCGGAACGUAAAGCCCUGUCAGGAGGGACGAAGCUCUGACGGUACCUCCAAAGGAAGCCCCGGCUAACUCCGUG